rnacentral:rRNA from 1 species
GACGAACGCUGGCGGCGUGCCUAAUACAUGCAAGUAGAACGCACAGUUUAUACCGUAGCUUGCUACACCAUAGACUGUGAGUUGCGAACGGGUGAGUAACGCGUAGGUAACCUGCCUGGUAGCGGGGAUAACUAUUGGAAACGAUAGCUAAUACCGCAUAAUAUUAAUUAUUGCAUGAUAAUUAAUUGAAAGGUGCAAUUGCACCACUACCAGAUGGACCUGCGUUGUAUUAGCUAGUAGGUGAGGUAACGGCUCACCUAGGCGACGAUACAUAGCCGACCUGAGAGGGUGAUCGGCCACACUGGGACUGAGACACGGCCCAGACUCCUACGGGAGGCAGCAGUAGGGAAUCUUCGGCAAUGGACGAAAGUCUGACCGAGCAACGCCGCGUGAGUGAAGAAGGUUUUCGGAUCGUAAAGCUCUGUUGUAAGAGAAGAACGGGUGUGAGAGUGGAAAGUUCACACUGUGACGGUAUCUUACCAGAAAGGGACGGCUAACUACGUG